GCCCUGGUAGCUUAGUAGGUAGAGCGGCAGACUGUUAAUCUGCAGGUCGCAGGUUCAAAUCCUGUCCAGGGCG
rnacentral:tRNA from 2 species